CUGCGGAGGAUCAUUACUGAGUGAGGGCCCUCUGGGUCCAACCUCCCACCCGUGUUUAUUUACCUUGUUGCUUCGGCGGGCCCGCCUUAACUGGCCGCCGGGGGGCUUACGCCCCCGGGCCCGCGCCCGCCGAAGACACCCUCGAACUCUGUCUGAAGAUUGUAGUCUGAGUGAAAAUAUAAAUUAUUUAAAACUUUCAACAACGGAUCUCUUGGUUCCGGCAUCGAUGAAGAACGCAGCGAAAUGCGAUACGUAAUGUGAAUUGCAAAUUCAGUGAAUCAUCGAGUCUUUGAACGCACAUUGCGCCCCCUGGUAUUCCGGGGGGCAUGCCUGUCCGAGCGUCAUUGCUGCCCUCAAGCACGGCUUGUGUGUUGGGCCCCGUCCUCCGAUUCCGGGGGACGGGCCCGAAAGGCAGCGGCGGCACCGCGUCCGGUCCUCGAGCGUAUGGGGCUUUGUCACCCGCUCUGUAGGCCCGGCCGGCGCUUGCCGAUCAACCCAAAUUUUUAUCCAGGUUGACCUCGGAUCAGGUAGGGAUACCCGCUGAACUUAAGCAUAUCAU
rnacentral:rRNA from 1 species